CGCACUAUGGGAUCGUCCGCACGGACAAGCAAUCGGACUGUUCAGACCACUAAAGCAACACCCUUUCAGCCCACGGGGCCUCCCGCGGUGAUGGUGAAACCUGGCCGGUGUCCUAUCGUGGGCUUCCUGGUGCACGUCUCUCACAGCGAUCCUCACGACGGGUA